CCUACGGGGGGCAGCAGUGAGGAAUAUUGGUCAAUGGACGAGAGUCUGAACCAGCCAAGUAGCGUGAAGGAUGACUGCCCUAUGGGUUGUAAACUUCUUUUAUAUGGGAAUAAAACGUUCCACGUGUGGGAUUUUGUAUGUACCAUAUGAAUAAGGAUCGGCUAACUCCGUGCCAGCAGCCGCGGUAAUACGGAGGAUCCGAGCGUUAUCCGGAUUUAUUGGGUUUAAAGGGAGCGUAGGUGGAUUGUUAAGUCAGUUGUGAAAGUUUGCGGCUCAACCGUAAAAUUGCAGUUGAAACUGGCAGUCUUGAGUACAGUAGAGGUGGGCGGAAUUCGUGGUGUAGCGGUGAAAUGCUUAGAUAUCACGAAGAACUCCGAUUGCGAAGGCAGUUCACUGGACUGCAACUGACACCGAGGCUCGAAAGUGUGGGUAUCAAACAGGAUUAGAUACCCCGGUAGUC
rnacentral:rRNA from 1 species